CUGGGGUCCUGAUUUCUCUUACUAAACACUUGGGAUUAAACUGGGAUUGAAUCUCUGUAUGUUCCCUGCUCACUUCAGCCACCGGGUCUGAGGAAGGAGAGCCUAUCACCACACUCAGUGGCCACAGUUUGUGCUGGUGCCUCUUGUUUUUCUACUUUUUUAACUUCUCUUAUUCACAGGCUUCUCAAUGAGCACAUUUCUUACAAAUUUGCUUUGAGCCACCAGCCUGCCUUCUCUGUCUUGCUGUUUGCAUCAGGCUUCCUAGUUUUCUCUUGUCUGUGUAACCUUGGUGUCCUCCCACGUCUCCUGUGUUUGCAAAUCUGCCUGUCACCACCUCUGCAAUAUUAUCUGUGUGUGCCAUUGCCUUGCAUCCACCUCCAUACAGAUCUUCCGCCUAGCUCCAUAUCCUCCUGCUUUGACUACAGCCACUUCCCCCUGCAAGACUUCUCAAAAUUAGCAUCCAUACACAGCUGGGGCUGCAGCCCACCCCUCCCCAGGCACAAAGGACUGGGAGAUGCUGGGCUCCCACCUCCUCAAAGCAGGCUCUGAGAUGGUUAGACCUAUGGCUUUUGUUUUUCUCCCACUUACUGCAAAAUUGCCCCUUUCCAUCCAAGACUUCCCCCAGCCCAUCUCAUUAACUUUCUCUCCACUGCUCCUGUGGGGGAAGCUCUGUUCCCCUUGCUUAGGAUUUCCACUUCUCCUCUCCCUGACAUCCUCUCUUAAACUGUCAGCACCGCAGUUUCUACGACAUGGAAGAUAAACGUGAGAAUGGAA